CCUACGGGAGGCAGCAGUGAGGAAUAUUGGUCAAUGGACGCAAGUCUGAACCAGCCAAGUAGCGUGCAGGAUGACGGCCCUCCGGGUUGUAAACUGCUUUUAGUUGGGAAUAAAAGGGGGCUCGUGAGCCCCGUAUUGUAUGUACCAUCAGAAAAAGGACCGGCUAAUUCCGUGCCAGCAGCCGCGGUAAUACGGAAGGUCCGGGCGUUAUCCGGAUUUAUUGGGUUUAAAGGGAGCGUAGGCCGGCUUUUAAGUCAGCUGUGAAAGUCCGCGGCGCAACCGGGGAAAUGCAGGUGAAACGGGAGGCCUUGAGGGCACACAGGGAAGCCGGAAGUCAUGGGGU
rnacentral:rRNA from 1 species